rnacentral:rRNA from 1 species
UGCAUCCUACGGGGGGCAGCAGUGGGGAAUAUUGCACAAUGGGGGGAACCCUGAUGCAGCGACGCCGCGUGAGUGAAGAAGUAUUUCGGUAUGUAAAGCUCUAGCAGCAGGGAAGAAGAUGACGGUACCUGACUAAGAAGCCCCGGAUAACUACGUGCCAGCAGCCGCGGGAAUACGUAGGGGGCAAGCGUUAUCCGGAUUUACUGGGUGUAAAGGGAGCGUAGACGGCAGGGCAAGUCUGGAGUGAAAGCCCGGGGCCCAACCCCGGGACUGCUUUGGAAACUGCCAUGCUGGAGUGCUGGAGG